CUAAGUAACCAGAGGAAAGGGCAUCAAUUGAGACUCCGUUAGUAGUGGCGAGCGAACGCGGACCAGGCCAAUGUUUUACGAUAAUCAAAUUAGAACCAUCUGGAAAGUUGGGCCAUAGUAGGUGAUAGCCCUGUAUAGAGACAGUUAUUAUAGAGACUUCGAGUAGGACGGGACACGUGGAAUCUUGUCUGAACAUGGGGGGACCACCCUCCAAGCCUAAGUACUCUUUAGCGACCGAUAGUGAACAAGUACCGUGAGGGAAAGGUGAAAAGAACCCCGAUGAGGGGAGUGAAAUAGAUCUGAAACUGUAUGCUUACAAUCAGUCGGAGCCCGCAAGGGUGACGGCGUACCUUUUGUAUAAUGGGUCAGCGACUUAAUUUAUCAAGCAAGCUUAAGCCGAUAGGUGUAGGCGUAGCGAAAGCGAGUCUUAAUAGGGCGUUUAGUUUGAUGGAUUAGACCCGAAACCGAGUGAUCUAGCUAUGAGCAGGUUGAAGGUGCAGUAACAUGCACUGGAGGACCGAACCCACUUAUGUUGAAAAAUGAGGGGAUGACUUGUGGCUAGGGGUGAAAGGCCAAUCAAACUCGGAGAUAUCUGGUUCUCCGCGAAAUCUAUUUAGGUAGAGCGUCAUGUGAAUACCAUCGGGGGUAGAGCACUGGAUGGGCUAGGGGGACUCACCGUCUUACCAAACCUAACCAAACUCCGAAUACCGAUGAGUAAUGCAUGGCAGACACACUAUGGGUGCUAAGGUCCAUAGUGGAGAGGGAAACAGCCCUAACCGCCAGUUAAGGUCCCGAAAUCAUUGCUAAGUUGAAAAGGAUGUAGAACGUCCAAAACAGCCAGGAGGUUGGCUUAGAAGCAGCCAUCCUUUAAAGAAAGCGUAACAGCUCACUGGUCUAAUUAAGAUGUUCUGUGCCGAAAAUGUAACGGGGAUCAAGCAAUGUACCGAAACUGCGGGUGCUAUUUAUAGCGCGGUAGCGGAGCGUUCCGUAAGCCUGUGAAGGAUAACCGUGAGGUUAUUUGGAGGUAUCGGAAGUGAGAAUGCUGACAUGAGUAACGAUAAAGAGGGUGAGAAACCCUCUCGCCGAAAGUCCAAGGGUUCCUGCUUAAAGUUAAUCUGAGCAGGGUUAGCCGGCCCCUAACGCGAGGGCGAAAGCCGUAGUGGAUGGGAAUGAGGUUAAUAUUCCUCAGCCAGUGGGUAGUGACGGAUUUGGUAACCUGUAUUUUCUUAUUGGAUUGAGAAUGCAGCGAACAAGUUCCAGGAAAUAGCUCCCACAUUACUGACCGUACCCCAAACCGACACAGGUGGACGAGUAGAGAAUACUAAGGCGCUUGAGAGAACUAUGUUGAAGGAACUCGGCAAAAUACCUCCGUAACUUCGGGAGAAGGAGGCCCGGUCUUAAGGCAACUUUUGGUCGGGGGCACAAAAUUGGGGGUGGCGACUGUUUACUAAAAACACAGGACUCUGCGAAGCCGCAAGGCGACGUAUAGGGUCUGACGCCUGCCCGGUGCUGGAAGGUUAAGAGGAGGAGUGCAAGCUCUGAAUUGAAGCCCCAGUAAACGGCGGCCGUAACUAUAACGGUCCUAAGGUAGCGAAAUUCCUUGUCGGGUAAGUUCCGACCUGCACGAAUGGCGUAACGACUUCCCCGCUGUCUCCAACAUAGACUCAGUGAAAUUGAAUUUCCCGUGAAGAUGCGGGAUAACUGCGGUUAGACGGAAAGACCCCGUGCACCUUUACUACAGCUUUGCAGUGAUAUUAGUGAUGCUAUGUGUAGGAUAGGUGGGAGGCUUUGAAGCAUUAGCGCCAGUUUAGUGUGGAG
rnacentral:rRNA from 1 species